UGGAAAUACCAGAGAAACUUUGAGGUAAAG
rnacentral:piRNA from 1 species